rnacentral:tRNA from 1 species
GCUUUCGUGGCUCAGUUGGUUAGAGCGCCGGUCUCAUAAUCCGGAGAUCACCAGUUCAACCCUGGUCGAGAGCA